AGUGAACGCUGGCGGUAGGCCUAACACAUACAAGUCGAACGGCAGCACAGUAAGAGCUUGCUCUUACGGGUGGCGAGUGGCGGACGGGUGAGGAAUACAUCGGAAUCUACUUUUUCGUGGGGGAUAACGUAGGGAAACUUACGCUAAUACCGCAUACGACCUACGGGUGAAAGCAGGGGAUCUUCGGACCUUGCGCGAUUGAAUGAGCCGAUGUCGGAUUAGCUAGUUGGCGGGGUAAAGGCCCACCAAGGCGACGAUCCGUAGCUGGUUUGAGAGGAUGAUCAGCCACACUGGAACUGAGACACGGUCCAGACUCCUACGGGAGGCAGCAGUGGGGAAUAUUGGACAAUGGGCGCAAGCCUGAUCCAGCCAUACCGCGUGGGUGAAGAAGGCCUUCGGGUUGUAAAGCCCUUUUGUUGGGAAAGAAAAGCAGCAGGUUAAUACCCCGCUGUUCUGACGGUACCCAAAGAAUAAGCACCGGCUAACUUCGUG
rnacentral:rRNA from 1 species